rnacentral:rRNA from 1 species
GACGAACGCUGGCGGCGUGCUUAACACAUGCAAGUCGAACGGAAAGGCCCUGCUUUUGUGGGGUGCUCGAUUGGCGAACGGGUGAGUAACACGUGAGUAACCUGCCCUUGACUUUGUGAUAACUUCAGGAAACUGGGGCUAUUACCCCAUAUGAGCUCCUGCUGCAUGGUGGGGGUUGGAAAGUUUCGGCGGUUGGGGAUGUUCUCGCUGCUUAUCAGCUUGUUGGUGGGGUAGUGGCUUUCCAAGGCUUUGACGGGUAGCCGGCCUGAGAGGGUUACCGGCCACAUUGGGACUGAGAUACGGCCCAGACUCCUACGGGAGGCAGCAGUGGGGAAUAUUGCACAGUGGGCGGAAGCCUGAUGCAGAAACGCCGCGUGCGGGAUGACGGCUUUCGGGUUGUAAACAGCUGUCGCCUGUGACGAAGCGUGAGUGACGGUAAUGGGUAAAGAAGCACCGGCUAACUACGUG